AGAUGAACAGGUGCACGUACCUGUUCGUCGCCAGCGCACGCGCGCGGAGUAGCGUCCCCCCAGCGAGACGCCGAUCUCUUGGCGGCCGCGCCCUAGCCGCCACUCCUGGGGCGCUGCCACCUUCUCCGCCGGCCUCUCACUCCCCAACCCUCUCUCGCUCCCCAACCCUAGUGCCUCGCGCUGACCGCCCCCGCCGCUCCCUCCCAAUGUCCGAGUCCGACCGCCGUGCCGCCUUAGGAGGUCGCACCUGCGCCGUCUCGGGGGGAUGGAGGCAUCCCCGUCCCGCGGCUUCGCUGCGCCGCCACCGGACUAAACCCUAGCGGCGCUGUCUCCACUCCCACACCCGCCAUGGCCGGCCCGUCCGGCGUCUCCUCCUCGCGCGGCGGCAUCGGGGUCGACCGCUUCUACAGCCCGCCCCACGUGCGCCGCCAGCAGCAGGAGGAGCAGCUGCAGCGGCUCAAAGGCCAGCGCCCCUCGUCCCCCGCCACUGUGGUGCUCACGCCCAGGGCCGCCAGGCAGCAGCCGCCCCCGCCGUCGGUGGCUGGGGCCGCGGAGCCGGCCGCCCCGCCUCCAGAGGAGGCCGAGAGGCGGGCUGACGCGCCGGGAAUCUGUAGAGGUUCCUCAGCUCCACGAUGCCGUCCGUGCCCGUGCAGUACUUGCCCAAGUAGGAGCAUGGAACGUGCUUGCCCUGUAGUUCAUGAUGGAUUACAGUAUUUCACCAUUGCUUCGGCAAAGAAUUGAAGUUGAUGAAAUGGGGUGUGCACAUAGCCAUUCGGGACAAGAUAGGAUCAGAGCAGAUAUGGGACCUCAAGAGAUUUGGAGCAAACUUAAAAGGUUAAAGCUCCAGGUUAAUAUCGUGCUCAAGAUGUUUAGGCAAAAAUUGAUGUACCGGCACUACUAAUUCCUGUGCUUGAAGAAACAUUUUCCGAUUUCAGGUUCUAGAGGGCUCCUGGGCUUGCCACUACGUACUGCAGAUGCAUACUAUGCAUGGCAAAUGAUGAUCAAGCCCUGUCCACAUGCCAACAGGUUCCCCUUUUUACUGCUCUAAUCUGAUUGAGUUAAUAUUACUUGCCAUGGUCAGAGUUAAUGUUAAUUGCCGUGGUUUGGUCAAAGUAUCAAUUGUUAUGUAAUUCGAACUAGACAACUAUGUCAUCACUUCUGAACGUAGAAAUGCCAAUGAUCAAGGCCAUGUCAAUGGUUCAGUGUAUUGGUUGCUUCUUCUUGAA